AUUGAACGCUGGCGGCAGGCCUAACACAUGCAAGUCGAACGGUAACAGAAAGCAGCUUGCUGCUUUGCUGACGAGUGGCGGACGGGUGAGUAAUGUCUGGGAAACUGCCUGAUGGAGGGGGAUAACUACUGGAAACGGUAGCUAAUACCGCAUAACGUCGCAAGACCAAAGAGGGGGACCUUCGGGCCUCUUGCCAUCGGAUGUGCCCAGAUGGGAUUAGCUAGUAGGUGGGGUAACGGCUCACCUAGGCGACGAUCCCUAGCUGGUCUGAGAGGAUGACCAGCCACACUGGAAAUGAGAAACGUUCCAGGCCCCCACGGGGGGCCGGGGGGGGGAAUAUUGCAAAAUGGGCGCAAGCCUGAUGCAGCCAGGCCGCGGGUAAGAAGAAGGCCUUCGGGUUGUAAAGUACUUUCCGGGGGGAGGAAGGGAGUAAAGUUAAUACCUUUGCUCAUUGACUUUACCCGCAGAAGAAACCCCGGCUAACCCCGG
rnacentral:rRNA from 1 species